CCAACCGACUACACCCAGAGAGAACUCUGGUUUUCUGUCUGAAAUAUUUUGCAACCACUGGGGGAAGGGAGAGAGCGUCCUCCUGAGAGGUCACGCAACAGCCACCUGCUGGUCAGGUCAGCUUCACGAGCUGUGUGCCCUUGGACAAGUUCGCUUUUCUGAGCCUCAGUUUUCUCAUCUGUGAAAUGAGAACAACACCUGGCUUGCCAGUGUUCUUAGGAUGACUGGUGCUUUUGUGGCCAGACCAGAUUGAAGUGGUGUCUGCUCGGCUGCCAUCACACAGCAUCACAGACUGAGCAGCUUCAACAACAGAAAUGUAUUUUUCUCAUGAUUCUGGAGUUUGGAAGUUGCAGAUCAGGUAUCACCUUUUCCUGGAGUUUCGUGGUGAUGAUCCCAAGCCUCCAGCCUGGAAGGGCCACCUCCUCGCUGUGCUGAUGUUCCUCUCGGCCUGCCUGCAAACACUGAGCAGCAGAACGGGUACCAGCUCCAGGUGCUGCAGAUGAGGCUGCGGUCGGCCAUCACUGGCCUGGUGUACA